UACGUAGGGUGCGAGCGUUGUCCGGAAUUAUUGGGCGUAAAGGGCUCGUAGGCGGUUUGUCGCGUCGGGAGUGAAAACUCAGGGCUUAACCCUGAGCCUGCUUCCGAUACGGGCAGACUAGAGGUAUGCAGGGGAGAACGGAAUUCCUGGUGUAGCGGUGAAAUGCGCAGAUAUCAGGAGGAACACCUGUGGCGAAGGCGGGUUUCUGGAGAGUUCCUGACGCUGAGGCACGAAGGCCAGGGGAGCAAACGGG
rnacentral:rRNA from 1 species